rnacentral:rRNA from 1 species
GACGAACGCUGGCGGUGUGCUUAACACAUGCAAGUCGAACGGUAAGGCCCUUUCGGGGGUACACGAGUGGCGCACGGGUGCGUAACACGUGAGUAACCUGCCCUCAUCUCUGGGAUAACAGUCGGAAACGGUUGCUAAUACUGGAUAUGAGCUUGCAAGGCAUCUUGUGGGUUGGAAAGAUUUUUUUUGGUUGGGGAUGGACUCGCGGCCUAUCAGCUUGUUGGUGAGGUAGUGGCUCACCAAGGCUUCGACGGGUAGCCGGCCUGAGAGGGCGACCGGCCACAUUGGGACUGAGAUACGGCCCAAACUCCUACGGGAGGCAGCAAUGGGGAAUAUUGCACAAUGGACGGAAGUCUGAUGCAGCAACGCCGCGUGCGGGAUGACGGCCUUCGGGUUGUAAACCGCUUUCAAUUGUGACGAAGCUUUUUUGUGACGGUAGCAGUAGAAGAAGCACCGGCUAACUACGUG